UCUGGUGAUGAUGGCGAAGGGGUCACACCCGUUCCCAUGCCGAACACGGAAGUUAAGCUCUUCAGCGCCGAUGGUAGUUGGGGGUUUCCCCCUGCGAGAGUAGGACGUCGCCAGGC
rnacentral:rRNA from 2 species